rnacentral:lncRNA from 1 species
GUCCCUAUAUAAAUGAUGAGUUAUGUAUGUUAAAAGAUUAAUAACUUAAAAAUUAAAAUUUUCCACCACUUGCAUAAAAACAUCUGGUGUACUAUCCGUGUUCCCGUCACAACUAAAAAUUUUCCCUCUGUUCGUAGCCGUUAGAUCAAAUUUCAACAGCACAGAUUUUCUGAUUUGGUGGAUUAUGAGGAAGGGAUCCGGAGAGAAUUCGUUUCCCAAAUUGUAUUAGAGGAGAUAGUAUAAAUAGAGUACGAAAAAAAUAAUAGGCGUAGUAUUAUUUUUAUUGUAUUUUAUACAUAUAAGAGCGUUAAAUUUAUAAUAAUAUCUUACUUUAAAAAUAUUUUGAAGUAGAUUAGCAUUGAAAACAAUGAAUAAAUCGACAAUAUCUUACUUUUUUUUAACCACAACUGUAAAUCUCAUUUCUACUUAAUUCUAUGAAAAAGAAAAAAUCUCAUUAAAUUAUCAUUUCCAAAAGUCAAAUCUUAGAUGCUAUUUGUUUGUUUCUAAUUGAGUUAGUUAGCUAACUUCAUUUCUACUUAAUUCAACGAAAAAGAAGAAAUCUCAUUAAAUUAUCAUUUCCAAGAGUCAAACUAACUUCAUUUCUACUUAGUUAUACGAAAAAGAAAUCUCAUUAAAUUAUCAUUUCCAAGAGUCAAACUAACUUCAUUUCUACUUAGUUAUACGAAAAAGAAAUCUCAUUAAAUUAUCAUUUCCAAGGUCAAAUCUUAGAUGAUAUUUGUUUGUUUCUAGUUGAGUUGGUUGGACUAUACAAGAGUUGGGAACUUGAAUGAUCGAGCAAAGCUCUCCACUCCACCUCGAGCUGCCUUGUUAAAAAUUUAAAGUGAUUCAUAAAUUUUACGAGCCGAACAUACUAAUGCUAAAGCUUGACUUGUUUUUUAAUGGAGCCGAACUA